AUCGAGGUUUGCCAGGCCGACGGAAACCAACUGCAACACGCCUCGGACGUUGAUUCUCUUAAAUAAAUGGUAGUACCGAAUAAAUAACAAACUUAAAUCAGGACGGCCAGGCGUCCCCGAUUUCCCGGGGUGUUGCGUUAUGGGUGCCGUUCCCCAAAAUGUCCCCCCACAUUGAGAGGGGCGAAUGUGCGCAGACUCAAACACCAGUUAUUACGAUCGCCAGUAAACGCAUCACCAGAGAAGACGUCGUUUGACGUACAGACGUUAGCAGGAAGCGUGACCAGACGUAGCAGCAUCAGCAACAACUACCAAUCUAGAGGCGGAAAAAAGAGAGAGAAAAGGACACCAGCGGUUGCUGUGGUAAAUGGUGUGGACAAAUGCACAUCUGCACAUCGACCCCAAAUGUCAGACCCCUAAAUUAUCUGCUCUAAGUGCACCAAAUGUACCAAGCUAACACUGGGCGAUGGCGCUGAAACUGAGCACGGUGGCAGAGCAGAAGAGCUUGUGGAGAAACUUGACGGCUUUGCAGAUGAGUAUCGUCUGGAGUAACCAGCAGCAGUGAGGACUGGCCCCCAGCACCACGUCAAAGGGAACACACACCAGGCCGGCACAGAUGCCCGAGCAGGCCAGGUUCUUGAUGAAGCGAUUGGUCACCGAUUUGAAGACGUUGGUGCAGCAGCUCCUGACGACCUCUGACAGAGUGGUUCCCCAGAGAAACUACAUUAAACAAGAUGUGAUGUUCUGUCACCAAGACGUCCACCACCACCGUGAGAAGAGUGACUGUGACCUCCUUUUGAAUCACAAAAACAAAAACAGGUUCAGCACGACUUGUUUUGAGUUCACAGCCAACACUCGGUGGGUAAUUAUAUUUACUCACCCGUGUGUCACAGCUUAGGAGGUGUUUUUUUGGUUAUUUGUUUUUGUUUUUAACAAAUAUUCGGUUCAGUUGUCUAACAAGUGAGUAAUGACCCGAACAAUUAUUUUUUAAAAACGACAAACAAAUUUGAAAGUUGAGAAAUAUUGAGAAAUACCUAGAUUUGUCAUGCAGAAGAAAUUUGUAGGAAUGAAGCUAAAGUCUAUAGUAGUCCUUAAAUAAUUUAUUAAAUAUUGAAAAAUAAAAUAUCACAUGAAGUGCAAAAGUCCGUGUCUGUAGUGGAAAAUGACUUGUGUUAUUAUAUGGACACAGGGUUUUUAAACUGUGACAGUUUGGUUGUUCAGUUUCCUCCACAAAAUACAGAAAGAAACAGAAUAUGAGGAUUUUUAUAAGUCAUAUGUUAACAUUGGUUAAAUUUGUUUAAUUAUUUUUAAUGAUUACAGUCCAUUUGUCCAACACUGUUUUGAAAAAAAUGUGUCCUUGUUAUGUAUGUCUCCCUGCAGACAUCACUCUCACCUACAUAUUUAUAUAUAAUUAUAUAUAUUUAUAUAAAGCCAUGGCUCGUUUUCUAUUGUCCCUAUAAUCACUUUGUCCCUUUGUUCCUGAAAAUACUCACCUUGUACUUGAGGAACACCUUGGCAACCGCACACGGGAGCCAAUAAGGAGAGAGCAAACACCAAACAGUACUGUUCUGCAGCACUUAACAAAUGGGAGUCAGACUGCAGCCACGGACACCAGAAAUGAACAAAAACACUCAGAAAUACCGUCUGAGGUCUGAGGUCUUCUCUAACAUAGAGUGUGUCAUUUCCCAACUGGGGAUAAUGAACCUCUGUUAAAGAUGGUUUUAAAAAUCAACCUGUGAAACCUCAUUAGCACCCCCAUGUGUCCCCCAUGUGGUGCUAUGACUAUUUUAGUAUCAGUGAUCAUUUCCUCCUUAAUGAAGGGCUCCAUGCAGAGGAGCAGAGAGUCACACUUCCACACGCUUCACAUAAUGACUCACAAACCUGAUUACAGUCCACAGCUGCGUUACUGCUGGUGUAUAGUAGUAGACACAGUGUGGUACGUUAAUCAGAUUGGAACGCUGGCCUGUGCUCCGUCAGGAAGGAUAUUUAUAAUGGGAUCUGUCUGUGAUUAGAAAUCUCAUGAACUUAUGAAGGAGAAAUGUGUUUGUGUUCCUGUUGCUUUCAAAUGGUCUUGAACUUUAGGGAAAAGAAAAACUUACAAAACUGUUUUACAGCUGAUACGGUACAAGGAUUUCACCGAUACUUCUGUCUGUUGUGUUUCAAUAAACAAGCUCUGGGUAAGGCUAACAACUAUAAUUUUGGGAAAAAUCUAUAAAAAAAAAAGCUUAUUUACAUCCUUGGCUAGCUUUGAUUUAGCUGUUAGCUAUUUUGUGGUUAUCACAUGUUUGUAUCUGUCAGGAUUCGUUACUAUUAAAGUCUAAUCCUGUGGUGUUUG